CUCUCUCUCUCUCUCUCUCUCUCUCACCUACCUUCCAUGACCAGAACUUCUCACACUCAGAAAUGGCACUGUCUUCUCAUCUUCUUCAAUUUCCAGUCCACACUUCGUCUCCAGGACCUGAUUAUCUCCUCUUCUAUCCCUCUCCAUGCCAAUCGUCUUCUCCAAUUUCCAUCCGGAAGGCUAUGAUUCCGCUAGUUCCAAUCGCGCUCAAUGUAUCUGCCAGAGUUAGGUGCUUGACGAAGUCGUCUGCUGAAGAGGAUCGCUGGAGUGAAUCGGAGACUUUGGUGUCUGAUGGCGAUGAUGGUGGAGAAGCAACGAAAGAGGACGCGAAAGUCCAACAACGCCGGCGAGAGAGAAUUACCACUUCGUAUGGUGAUGUUUCUUUGAGGGGGGGGUGGGGGGAGCCGAUUUAUGAGGUUGUAGAAGUGAAGUCAAAUGGGAUGGUAUCUACAAGGAAAAUAAACAGACGCCAAUUAUUAAAGUCAAGUGGUCUUCGCCCAAGAGAUAUCCGGAGUGUUGAUCCGUCAUUGUUUUUGACAAAUUCAAUGCCUUCUUUACUGGUUCGUGAGCAUGCUAUAUUGCUAAAUCUGGGCUCGUUACGAGCAAUAGCGAUGCAAGAGCGUGUCCUUAUAUUUGACUAUAACUGUAAAGGAGGGAAAGCUUUUAUAGAUACAUUGUUACCUCGAUUAAAUCCCAGAAAUAUCAAUGGAGGGCCAUGCAUGCCAUUUGAGCUUGAGGUUGUUGAAGCAGCAUUGCUUUCACGAGUGCAGCGAUUGGAGCAGAGACUUAUGACUAUGGAACCUCGUGUUCAAGCUCUUCUUGAAGUUUUACCCAACAAGUUAACUGCUGACAUAUUAGAGGAACUCCGUAUUAGCAAGCAAACAUUGGUUGAAUUAGGUUCAAGGGCAGGAGCUCUUAGACAAAUGUUGCUUGAUCUUUUGGAGGACCCACAUGAAAUACGUCGUAUAUGUAUAAUGGGAAGAAACUGCACUCUUGUAAAGGGAAAUAAUAGUGUGGAAUGCUCUGUUCCCUUAGAAAAGCAAAUUGCUGAGGAAGAAGAGGAAGAAAUUGAGAUGCUUUUGGAAAAUUAUCUUCAAAGGUGUGAAUCUUGUCAUGGUCAGGCAGAACGACUUCUUGAUUCUGCAAAAGAAAUGGAAGAUUCUAUUGCUGUUAAUUUAAGCUCUCGGAGGCUUGAAGUAAGUAGAGUGGAAUUACUUCUCCAAGUUGGGACAUCUUGUGUGGCAGUCGGUGCUCUAGUU
rnacentral:misc_RNA from 1 species